rnacentral:sRNA from 1 species
AAUAGAAAAAUUCCAUUGUCCUUCCUCAUUCAUCGGAGAGUUCUCUUUGGGCUUUCCGAAAAGGUAUCACAUGCCAAGUUUGGCCUCACGGUCUAAAACUUAUAGAAUCAUACAUUCUUAACAAAAAAAAAAGAGAAAAACCGAAAAAAAGAAGAAUUUAACACAAGGACUUUCCAGGAGGUCAACCAUCCUAGUAGUACUCUCGCCCAAUCACGCUUAACUGCAGAGUUCUGAUGGGAUCCGGUGCAUUAGUGCUGGUAUGAUCGCAUCUGUUACUACAUGCAAUGCAAUCGUAUCUGUUACUACAUGCAAUGCAAUCGUAUCUGUUACUACAUGCAAUGCAAUCGUAUCUAUUCUUUUUUGAAGACUUUAUGAUCCAUUUGCCGUGGGUCCCACCAGCUAUGUAGGAAUACCCUAUCUUGUUUAUAAGAGCUUUGAUACAUGCAAAAUAUUCGAAUACAAUGUCUAAACGUAUAAGUUUCGCCCCGUAAUAUAGCGAAGAUCACGAAAAGGCCCGAAAAAGUACAUUAAGGUCAAAAUUUGGAGUAGAAAUAAAAACCAAUAGAAGAAUUCCAAUUUCCUUCCUCAUUCAUUGGAGAGCUCUCUUUGGGCUUUCCGAAAAGGUAUCACAUGCGAAGUUUGGCCUCACAAUCUAAAAGUUAUAUAGUCAUACAUUUUUAACAAAACAAAUAGAGAAAAACCGAAAAAAAGAAUGAUACAACACAAGGACUUUCCGGGAGGUCACCCAUCCUAAUACUAUUCUCGCCCAAGCAAGCUUAACUGCAGAGUAUUGAUGGGAUCUGAUGCAUAAGGGCUGAUAUGAUCGCAUCCGUUACUACAAGCAAUGCAAUCGUAUCUAUUCGUUUUUGAAGACUUUAUGAUCCAUUUGCCGUGGGUCCCACCAGCUAUGUAGGAAUACCCUAUCUUGUUUAUAAGAGCUUUGAUACAUGCAAAAAAUUGGAAAACAAUGUCUGAACAUAUAAUUUUUGUCCCGUAAUAUAGCAAAGAUCACGAAAAGGAUAGAAAAAGUACAUUAAGGUCAAAAUUUUGAGUAGAAAAAAAAUCAAUAGAAGGAUUCCAAUUUCCUUCCUCAUUCAUAUAGCUCUCUUUGGGCUUUCCGAAAAGGUAUCACAUGCAAAGUUUGGCC